rnacentral:rRNA from 1 species
GACGAACGCUGGCGGCGUGCUUAACACAUGCAAGUCGAACGGAAAGGCUCCAGCUUGCUGGAGUACUCGAGUGGCGAACGGGUGAGUAACACGGGGGUAAUCUGCCCUGCACUCUGGGAUAAGCCUGGGAAACUGGGUCUAAUAAUGGAUAUGACCUUUCUCCUUAUGGGGUUUGGUGGAAAGUUUUUCGGUGUAGGAUGAGCCCGCGGCCUAUCAGCUUGUUGGUGGGGUGAUGGCCUACCAAGGCGACGACGGGUAGCCGGCCUGAGAGGGUGAUUGGCCACAUUGGGACUGAGAUACGGCCCAGACUCCUACGGGAGGCAGCAGUGGGGAAUAUUGCACAAUGGGCGGAAGCCUGAUGCAGCGACGCCGCGUGAGGGAUGACGGCCUUCGGGUUGUAAACCUCUUUCAGCAGGGACGAAGCGUAAGUGACGGUACCUGCAGAAGAAGCACCGGCUAACUAUGUG